UACGAAGGGUGCAAGCGUUACUCGGAAUUACUGGGCGUAAAGCGUGCGUAGGUGGUGAGUUAAGUCUGUCGUGAAAGCCCCGGGCUCAACCUGGGAAUGGCGAUGGAUACUGGCUCGCUAGAGUGCGGUAGAGGAGAGUGGAAUUCCCGGUGUAGCAGUGAAAUGCGUAGAGAUCGGGAGGAACAUCAGUUGCGAAGGCGGCUCUCUGGACCAGCACUGACACUGAGGCACGAAAGCCAGGGGAGCGAACAGG
rnacentral:rRNA from 1 species